AACGUAGGAGGCGAGCGUUAUCCGGAGUUACUGGGCGUAAAGAGCGUGUAGGCGGGUAUGCAAGUUUGGCGUGAAAGCUCCCGGCUAAACUGGGAGAGUGCGCUGAAGACUGCGUAUCUAGAGGCAAGUAGAGGGACGUGGAAUUCCGGGUGUAGUGGUGAAAUGCGUAGAGAUCCGGAGGAACACCAGUGGCGAAGGCGACGUCCUGGGCUUGACCUGACGCUGAGACGCGACAGCACGGGGAGCGAACGGG
rnacentral:rRNA from 1 species